UUCAUCAAGCUGCAGCUGUUUCUCCCUUCUCUUCAGUUUACUGCUUAUUCAUGGUUGUUUUGUGUGGAGAUUCCUUUCUAGUCAUUUUUAUCUGUUUAACAAUACGCCAAACCAACAUAAAAGAUUCUCCCCUUCCCCUUGUAAUUUCUGGAACAUGAUGAAAUAUUUGUAUCUAUACCAGAUCCAUCUUCAUGCACAUAAACUUGAAUUUCUUCUAUAUAGAUAUACACUUUAUUAUAACUCGAUAUUUUUUCUUGUCUGAUUUGAGAUUUUCUAGAUCUGGGUUGUAACUUGAAUGAAACCACCCGUCUACCUGUAACUUGACAGAACCACCACCUGCAAAAACCGAAGCUGGAAAUGGACGACAACGAAGUGGUGUUGUGUUUGCAGCCCGUCGGUUUGGUCUAUUCCUUAAUUUAUGCUGAAUCCCAUAUGGAACCGUCCACUGUCCAUGCCUAGCUCUACAACAAAAUUUCAACACAAAGUCAAUAUGGCUAAGUUUCCUUUUUUUCUUCUUCUUUAUUUUUCUUUAUUUUUUUUUUUUUGGUGGUGAUUUUAACUUUUUUAUAUGAUUCAAUAGUUGUAGUUGUUAUAUGAUUCAAUUUUGUUUUUGUUGUUGUUAGAUUGAAUAGUUGAUGAUGCGUGUGAUUGGAUUAUAUGGUUUUAUUGUAAUACUCUGGGGUGUAUAUAAAUUCUGAUGUGUACUAUAUUGCUUCGAGUGAAAUUUUGUUUUGCAAAUAAUUUCUUUUUAUAAAAUUCUAUCUGGGGUGUCACCAUUUGUGAGGUGAAGGAUUAGUCUUAGUCUCAAUUUUAGUGGGUGUAUUCUCUUGGUUUAAAUAGAUUGCAUCAAUGAGUGUAAGAUUAGUCUUGAGAUUCAAAUUUAGUACGAAUCUAACAUACGUUCAAAGUAUUAACAAGCUAUUAGCUGGGGCUGAUCUUGGUGUAGGAUCAAACGAUGUACAUAUUUGGAAUAGGAAAUUCUUUUGUCGUUUAAUUGUUGUAUGAUUGUUAUUUUAUUAUUGCUCUUUGUGAUUAUGGUGUAAUUUAGAUUGAUUGUUUUGAUUGUAGUUAUAUUGAAAUUGUGUUGGGACGAUAUGUACAAACACGUUAAAAAUAUAGUUCCAAAAACAAAAGAAGAUCUAAAAGUAAAUGUCUAGGGAAAAUGUGUGAAAUUAAAAUUUAAAAAGGUAGUGAUGUGAUGAGUACAAAAAGAAUAAUUUAGUUGGAGACAUUAUGAUUUCUGAACCAUAGCAAAGUAAAAUAGAAGGUAUGAAGAAUGUUUCAAAUAAUAAUGAUGAUAUGGAGUCUAACAUUCUUGAUAGAGGAAAAGAGAAGAAGAUACAAACUAAUGACGGGUUAGACUCACUAUACUCUUGAAAAGACGAGGAGCUAGAAUUUGCAUUACAAAAUUCCCAACUCGUUCACUAUCCACUACAAUUUUAGGAAGACACCUCAAAACUUUUUUUGAGGAACUAAUUCAAGGCCCCAACUGAAUAUCGAGGAAGACAUUGAAGAAAAUUCGUUGGAAGAUUUUAACAUCCCUCCAAAUAAUAUUCAAGUAAAUACUUGUAACUUAUAAUAGUCAUUUUUUAAAAUUAUUUUUCUUAGUGCAUUUUUGGUUUGGUGCAAGAAUUGUGAAACUUACAUUGAUUUUUUCAAAAUAACUCCAUAUAUAUUUGGAUGUACACUUAUUGAAAAUAACAAGGGUUAAUGGUGUUUUACCCCCAUGUAAUAUAGGUCAUUUUCGGUUUUACACUCUGUAAAAUACUUUUUUUGAUUUACCCCCUUAUAAAAUAUUUUUGUUUUGAUUUAAUCCCCUAAUAGGUCAUUCAAAAACCAGAAUUUUCGAAGAAAAAAAAAUGGUUAAUUUGGUUAAAUCACCGUGAAUUUGAUAAUUCUAGCACCAAACCGCACUAAUAAAAUAAUUUUGGAAAGUGAGUACUUUACGAGUAUUUACUUGGAUAUUCUUUGGUGGGAUGUUAAAACCUUCCAAUGAAUUUUCUUCAAAUACUUCCUCAAUAUUGAGUUGGGGCCUUGAAUUAGUUCCCUCUUGAAAAAGUUUUGAGGCGCCUUUCCCAAAUUGUAGUGGAUAUAUUGAAAUAUAGUUGGGAAUUUUGUAAUUCAAAUACUAACUCCUCAUUGGUUUGAAUCCUUUUUUCUUUUCCUUUAUCAAUAAUGUUAGACUCGCCAUCAUCAUUAUUAUUCGAAACUUGCUUCAUACUAUUUUACGUUGCUUUGGUUCAGAGAUCAUAAUGCCGCCAACUAAAUUAGUAUUUUUGUACUCAUCACAUCACUAUCUUUUUUAAUUUGGGUUUUACACGUUUUUCCGUUGACAUUUGCUUUUGGAUUUUAUUUUGUUUUUGGAACUAUAAUUUCAACAUGUUUGCACAUUUCAUCCAACACAUUUUCAAUAUAACUACAGUCAAAUUGAAAUUACACCGUAAUCAUAAAGAAAAGGGCAAAUUACACUCACCACCCCUCGGGUUUCUUUAAACAACACAUAGACCCCUCUAGUUUAAAAAUUAACAUUGACCUCCCUUAUUUGUUUCUUUAAUUAACAUAUACAUCGCUUGUAUGCUAACACUGUUAGUUGUCAGUUAACUUCAUUGAUGCAGUGGAAGCUUUCGUCCGCUUAGAUGUUUAUCACCAUGGCAACUCCUUGCAUGGCAAAAUUCAUACCUCCAUCUCAGUUGCAAUUUGAGAAAAAUUACACAAUGGAGAAGUACAAUGUGAAUGUAAAAAGCCAUAAAUUCAUCAAGCUAGAGAAAUAGUUAAAACAAACUAGUGUUCAAUUGUGAUGAUUACAACCAAAUUAAUCUCUCCUGUAAUUACAGAGGACAGAUAAUUUGUUUGGGGACUGAAUAAUGUACAAACAUGAAAUUAAUUCAGUUUUUUGUGUGUGAUGGAAAUUGAUUCAUCUGCCACUCACGAACAUUUC
rnacentral:lncRNA from 1 species